GUGUCAGCAGCCGCGGUAAUACGAAGGGGGCUAGCGUUGUUCGGAAUUACUGGGCGUAAAGCGCGCGCAGGCGGUCUUCCAAGUCAGUGGUGAAAGCCCGGAGCUCAACUCCGGAAUUGCCAUUGAAACUGUUAGACUUGAGUACGAGAGAGGUGAGUGGAAUUCCCAGUGUAGAGGUGAAAUUCGUAGAUAUUGGGAAGAACACCGGUGGCGAAGGCGGCUCACUGGCUCGUAACUGACGCUCAGGCGCGAUAGCGUGGGGAUCAAACAGGAUUAGAUACCCUGGUAGUCCACGCCGUAAACGAUGAAUGCUAGCCGUUGGAUAGCUUGCUAUUCAGUGGCGCAGCUAACGCAUUAAGCAUUCCGCCUGGGGAGUACGGCCGCAAGGUUGAA
rnacentral:rRNA from 1 species